rnacentral:tRNA from 1 species
GCUCCGUUAGCUCAGCUGGAUAGAGCACCCGCCUUCUAAGCGGGUGGUCGCAGGUUCAAAUCCUGCACGGAGUACCA